GACGUAGGGCGCGAGCGUUGUCCGGAAUUAUUGGGCGUAAAGAGCUCGUAGGCGGCUUGGAAGGUCAGCUGUGAAAACUCGAGGCUCAACCUCGAGACGUCGGUUGAAACCACCUGGCUAGAGUCCGGAAGAGGAGAGUGGAAUUCCCGGUGUAGCGGUGAAAUGCGCAGAUAUCGGGAAGAACACCCGUGGCGAAGGCGGCUCUCUGGGACGGUACUGACGCUGAGACGCGAAAGCGUGGGGAGCGAACAGG
rnacentral:rRNA from 1 species